UAUUUGAUACAUUUUUACUUGAAUAAUAGCCUGAAUGUGUAUGUAUGUGUGUUGAAUGCAGGCAGGGAGUUGGGCGGUUCAAGAUGUCAAACUCGGAGGUUCAGCACGGCCGGAGUCAAGGCCCUGUUGAACAAGGACAAGGAAAGGCUUGGAUUUCAGUGGUUCACCACGGCUUCCAUAGGCAUCAUGGAACACCAGGCCGUGCUUAUCAGUACAGCCGGAAUCCAA
rnacentral:lncRNA from 1 species